GGGAAUUAGCUCAAAUGGUAGAGCGCCUGCUUAGCAUGCAGGAGGUAAUGGGGUCGAUACCCAUAUUCUC
rnacentral:ncRNA from 12 species